CUCUCUCUCCACAGGAAUAUAGAUCCCAUAGGCAUAUACAGGACUCUCUCUCUCUCUCUCUCUCUCUCUCUCUCUCUCUCUCUCUCUCUCUUUCUCACAGCACAGGAACACACAGGAUGUCACCCACACAGUAUGUUUUAUAUACCACACAGUCACAUACCCCAGUCACAUAUAUACAGCACUUGUCAAACCACCGUCUCUCUCUCUCCACAGGAAUAUAGACCCCACAGGCAUAUACAGGACUCUCUCUCUCUCUCUCUCUCUCUCUCUCUCUCUCUCACAGCACACAGGAACGCACAGGAUGUCACCCACACAGUAUGUUUUAUAUACCACACAGUCACAUACCCCAGUCACAUAUAUACAGCACUCGUCAAACCAGCGUCUCUCUCUCCUUCCCUCUCUCUCUCUCCACAGGAAUAUAGACCCCACAGGCAUAUACAGGACUCUCUCUCUCUCUCUCUCUCUCUCUCUCUCUCUCUCUCUCUCUCUCUCUCUCUCUC